GGAACUCCUCAUGGAUGAGGUAGUAAACGUUCCAGCAUUCAUCCAUCAAAUAGGCGGGAGAAGGCAAGGGCGCGGGUCUUCGACAGGAGACAAAACCCGGGAGAGCGGACACAGUGUUACAAGGGGGCCCAGGGAGAGAGACAAGCAAAAUUUCUACAGCCAGAAGUGGCAAGUAAAUGUAAGCUCCAGGAAAAGAAACCUUGGUUGUCUACUGGAUAGUCAGCUCCUAGCCCAGAACUGAAGCAUAAGAGACCAAGAAUACUUGGCUUUUCCACUUCUUACCUCCUCUGCCUGCGGUGACGUUGUACCAGAUAUUUUGAUGGCUAGCCUCUUAUCAGCUUCAAGUAUUUACAUAAAGUUCACCUUUUUGUUACAGAGUACCUACCAAAGAUUCAGGAGAGAUAACAGGGAAUUUGGAGAGGAUUGCUGUGUACUCAUGGAGCUCUUCGGAGAAAGAAGGAAACUGUAUAUGUGAUAUGGAUGCAUCACUAUGAGAACUACAUAAGGAACGGCUAACAUUUCAAAAGCACAGAUUUUCAAAAUGGUUGAAGCACUGAAUCAUCCUGAAGACGGGACAGCCUGUAAGUGGUUACAUUUUCCUAAGAGAUAUAAAAUCACCAUGUGAUUUUUUUUUUUUAUCAUGGCCUUCAUUUGAUUUGUA